GACGAACGCUGGCGGCGUGCUUAACACAUGCAAGUCGAGCGGUAAGGCUCCUUCGGGAGUACACGAGCGGCGAACGGGUGAGUAACACGUGAGCAAUCUGCCCUUCACAUGGGAAUAACUUCGGGAAACCGAAGCUAAUACCGAAUACGACCACCGAUGGCAUCUUCUGGUGGUGGAAAGUUCCGGCGGUGAAGGAUGAGCUCGCGGCCUAUCAGCUUGUUGGUGAGGUAAUGGCCCACCAAGGCGACGACGGGUAGCCGGCCUGAGAGGGUGACCGGCCACACUGGGACUGAGACACGGCCCAGACUCCUACGGGAGGCAGCAGUGGGGAAGUAAUUGGACAAUGGGCGGAAAGACCUGAUCCAGCAACGCCGCGUGAGGGAUGACGGCCUCGGUUGUAA
rnacentral:rRNA from 1 species